UGAGUACGAGAUGCUACGGCGUCGAAGCAGUCUAGGUCAUACUUCCAAGAAAAGCUUGCACUGUCAUAAACAAAGAAUGCCUGUACCAUAACCGACACAGGUGGGUAGGUAGAGUAUACUAAGGGGCGCGAGAUAACUCUCUCUAAGGAACUCGGCAAAAUGACUCCGUAACUUCGGGAGAAGGAGUGCCUUAUUUUUAAGGUUGCAAUAACAAGAUCCAAGCAACUGUUUACCAAAAACACAGGUCUCCGCUAAGUCGUAAGACGAUGUAUGGGGGCUGACGCCUGCCCAGUGCCAGAAGGUUAAAGAAGUUGGUUAGCUUUUGCGAAGCUGAUAACUGAAGCCCUGGUGAACGGCGGCCGUAACAAUAACGGUCCUAAGGUAGCGAAAUUCCUUGUCGGGUAAGUUCCGACCCGCACGAAAGGCGUAAUGAUUUGGAUACUGUCUCGGAGAGGGGCUCGGUGAAAUAGACUUGUCUGUGAAGAUGCGGACUACCUGCACCUGGACAGAAAGACCCUAUGAAGCUUUACUGUAACUUGAGAUUGAAAUUGGACUUUAUUUGCGCAGUAUAGGUGGGAGGCGUUGAGAAUAAUCUUGCGGGAUUAUCGGAGCCAUCAGUGAGAUACCACUCUUGUAAUGUUAGAUUUCUAACUUUGUAUCAUUAUCUGGUCAAAGAACAGUUUCAGGCGGGCAGUUUGACUGGGGCGGUCGCCUCCCAAAGGGUAACGGAGGCGCACAAAGGUUUCCUCUGAACGGGUAGAAAUCGUAUCUAGAGUGUAAAGGCAUAAGGAAGCUUGACUGUGAGACCUACAAGUCGAGCAGGGACGAAAGUCGGUCUUAGUGAUCUGACGGUGCUGAGUGGAAAGGCCGUCACUCAACGGAUAAAAGUUACUCUAGGAUAACAGGCUGAUCUCCCCCAAGAGUUCACAUCGACGGGGAGGUUUGGCACCUCGAUGUCGGCUCAUCGCAUCCUGGGGCGGUAGUACGUCCCAAGGGUUGGGCUGUUCGCCCAUGAAAGCGGUACGCGAGCUGGGUUCAGAACGUCGUGAGACAGUUCGGUCCAUAUCCGGUGUAGGCGUUAGAAUAUUGAAAGGAGCCUUCUCUAGUACGAGAGGACCGAGAAGGACAUACCUCUGGUGUGCCAGUUAUCGUGCCAACGGUAAACGCUGGGUAGCUAUGUAUGGAGUGGAUAACCGCUGAAAGCAUCUAAGUGGGAAGCCCACCUUAAGAUAAG
rnacentral:rRNA from 1 species